rnacentral:tRNA from 1 species
ACCGAAAUAGCUUAGUUGGGAGAGAGUUAGUCCAUAAAUCGAAAAGACCCUGGUUCGAUCCUGGGUUUCCAGU